UUUCAAAAAUUCGUAAGGGUUCCACGGAACCCAGUGUCUCGCCUACUUUAGCUGUUAAUCGCAGACUCAACAAAAAUGAGGAUAAACAUCAAUAAAAAUUUCCCUCUCGAUACUGUCUUUUGAUUGAAAGAAGCUUCCAAGUUUGGUAAAAAAAUCCAGGAUAGUUUAUGAAUCUAAAAAAUGUUUUAUAAACUUUAACUGCAGACUGUAUGUAAUGUUAACUGGAAGAAAAACUAAGUCCAUUUAUAAGUAAAAUACGGAAAAAGGGAAUUUUUUUUUUUUAAAUUUACUUCUGAAUAAUAUUUUAUGAUCAGAAACAAGUUUUUGUCAAAGUUUGUUAGAAAUCCAGGAUAGUUUAAGAACAUUAUAAAAAUUUUAAAAACUUAAACCACAGAGUGAAUGUUUUGUUUCUGGCAAAAAAACUAAGUCCAUUUAUAAGUAAAUUAC
rnacentral:lncRNA from 1 species